GCGGCUGCUUCAUUUUGUUAAUUCAGGGUUAAAAUCCGAUUUGCUUCUGCCACUUGUAGCUGUUUCUGCUUUUGAGAGAGCAAGCAGAGCUGAGGUUUUGAUUGCCGGUGAUUUCGGGAUGAGCGAAAAGGAGUCAGUUAACGAGUUUGGGUUGUGGUUUCAAUGUGUCGAGGAUAUGGACGCAGAAGUCACGAAGAGCUUAUCUAGUUGUUGUCGUGAUGUUUGUAUUGCUUUAGUUAUUGUUUACUGUUCCCU